rnacentral:rRNA from 1 species
UGCCCCAAGAGGAGCUCGCGUCUGAUUAGCUAGUUGGUGAGGUAAGAGCUCACCAAGGCAGCGAUCAGUAGCUGGUCUGAGAGGACGAUCAGCCACACUAGGACUGAGACACGGCCCAGACUCCUACGGGAGGCAGCAGUGGGGAAUUUUCCGCAAUGGGCGAAAGCCUGACGGAGCAAGACCGCGUGAGGGAGGAAGGCUCUUGGGUUGUAAACCUCUUUUCUCAGGGAAGAAGCUCUGACGGUACCUGAGGAAUCAGCCUCGGCUAACUCCGUGCCAGCAGCCGCGGUAAUACGGAGGAGGCAAGCGUUAUCCGGAAUUAUUGGGCGUAAAGCGUCCGCAGGUGGCGAUUCAAGUCUGCUGUCAAAGCACGGGGCUUAACUCCGUUAAGGCAGUGGAAACUGAAUAGCUAGAGUGCCGUAGGGGUAGAGGGAAUUCCCGGUGUAGCGGUGAAAUGCGUAGAGAUCGGGAAGAACAUCGGUGGCGAAAGCGCUCUACUGGACGGCAACUGACACUCAGGGACGAAAGCUAGGGGAGCGAAUGGGAUUAGAUACCCCAGUAGUCCUAGCUGUAAACGAUGGAUACUAGGUGUAGCUUGUAUCGACCCGAGCUGUGCCGAAGCUAACGCGUUAAGUAUCCCGCCUGGGGAGUACGCACGCAAGUGUGAAACUCAAAGGAAUUGACGGGGGCCCGCACAAGCGGUGGAGUAUGUGGUUUAAUUCGAUGCAACGCGAAGAACCUUACCAGGGCUUGACAUGUCCGGAAUCCCGGUGAAAGCUGGGAGUGCCUUCGGGAGCCGGAACACAGGUGGUGCAUGGCUGUCGUCAGCUCGUGUCGUGAGAUGUUGGGUUAAGUCCCGCAACGAGCGCAACCCUCGUCUUUAGUUGCCAGCAUUAAGUUGGGCACUCUAGAGAGACUGCCGGUGACAAACCGGAGGAAGGUGGGGAUGACGUCAAGUCAGCAUGCCCCUUACGCUCUGGGCGACACACGUACUACAAUGGUCGGGACAGAGGGCAGCGAACCUGCGAAGGCAAGCUAAUCCCAGCAAACUCGGCCUCAGUUCAGAUCGCAGGCUGCAACUCGCCUGCGUGAAGGAGGAAUCGCUAGUAAUCGCCGGUCAGAAUACGGCGGUGAAUCCGUUCCCGGGC